rnacentral:rRNA from 1 species
UACGGAGGGUGCAAGCGUUAUCCGGAUUCACUGGGUUUAAAGGGUGCGUAGGUGGGCAGGUAAGUCAGUGGUGAAAUCUCGGGGCUUAACUCCGAAACUGCAUUCGAUACUGCCGUGCUUGAGGACUGGAGAGGAGACUGGAAUUUACGGUGUAGCGGUGAAAUGCGUAGAUAUCGUAAGGAAGACCAGUGGCGAAGGCGGGUCUCUGGACAGUUCCUGACGCUGAGGCACGAAGGCCAGGGGAGCAAACGGG